rnacentral:rRNA from 1 species
GGGAGUAUUGGACAAUGGGGGGAACCCUGAUCCAGCGACGCCGCGUGAGUGAAGAAGUAUUUCGGUAUGUAAAGCUCUAUCAGCAGGGAAGAAAGAAAUGACGGUACCUGACCAAGAAGCCCCGGCUAACUACGUGCCAGCAGCCGCGGUAAUACGUAGGGGGCAAGCGUUAUCCGGAUUUACUGGGUGUAAAGGGAGCGUAGACGGUAAUGCAAGUCUGGAGUGAAAUGCAGGGGCUCAACCCCUGAACUGCUUUGGAAACUGUAUGACUGGAGUGCAGGAGAGGUAAGUGGAAUUCCUAGUGUAGCGGUGAAAUGCGUAGAUAUUAGGAGGAACACCAGUGGCGAAGGCGGCUUACUGGACUGUAACUGACGUUGAAGCUCGAAAGCGUGGGGAGCAAAC